GGGCCCGUAGCUCAGCUUGGAUAGAGCAUCUCCACCUCUAUGAGGUGGAGCUCGAGCCGGCCUUCUAAGCCGGGGGUCGUGGGUUCGAAUCCCACCGGGCCCGCCA
rnacentral:tRNA from 1 species